GUUCUAGGCUCAUGCGUGUCUGCGCGCUGGGCUGCUCCGUUCCCGGCUUAGAGGACCAGGACAAGGGCUAGCCACCGCUGCAUGCUGGAGGCUGUGGCUGCGGCACCACAGCUCGCCUCGCUGCGGUUGGUGGCAGCGACGGAGACUGCAGUGUGGCUGGAGCGCUGUGGUCAUGGACAUGUUCACCCAUGUGGACAUCUUCAAAGACCUGCUGGAUGCCGGCUUCAAGAGGAAAGCAGAUUUGUACAUCAUCGUGGACGGGAGUAAAGUCAAGUACGUUCUGCAUAUGUGUGAGCAGACCCGCAUGCACCUGGGGCACCUCAAGGCAUCCUCUGAAGAUCUUGAAAUGUAUCCCCUAUGGAUAAAGGAGGACUACUAUAUUCUCAAUGGAUUUUGCAAGAAGAAAAUUAAUCAUUCACAAAAUAUUUUAACCUUAGAAUUUAAAUAAAUGUGUAUAUUCUCUACAAGUUAAACACAAAUAUUGUAAUAACCUAUGGCCACUUUUUCUUAUUUUUAUGCCAUUUGAGUAAUGACUGGUAUUGAUUUGCUGAGGUUCAAAUUUCGAAUUCUAGUUUUUCUUAAACAUGACUUAUAUUAAUAAGAAUAUGUUCAACUCUGGUGUGCUUUAUCAGUCAAAAACACAAAUUAAUUAUGCAGAGAAUAUUAUUUUCUUUUUUGAGAUGGAGUCUCCCUCUGUCGCCCCGGCUGGAGUGCAGUAGCGCAAUCUUGGCUCACUGCAAACUCCACCUCCCGGAUUCAAGUGAUUCUACUGCCUCAGCCACCCAGGUAGCUGGGAUUACAGGCAUGCCCCACAAUGCCUGGCUAACUUUUCUAUUUUUAUAAAAUCUAAAACCUGGGACCUGGUAUAAGGCCUGGGUAUCCACCCGGGGCUUGAUUUUAGCAGGGGCCUGAAGUUCUUCUAGCACCUGGUGUCCACCUGAGGCCUGGGUGUCAGCCUGGGACCAGAUGUCCAGCUGGGGCCUGAGUGUUUCUCGGUGCCUGAGGACUUUCUGGGCCCGGAUGUCCACGUGGGACCUAGAUGUGUACCUGGGGUCUAAUGUUCACCAGGAGCCAAGGUAUCUACCUGGGGCCUAUGUCCACCCAGAGCCUGAUAUCCAUUUGGAGUCAAGUGUCCACCUGGGGCCCAGGUGUCCUUCAGGAGCCUGGUUUUGACCUGGGGCCUCAGUGGACACUUGGGGCCUGAUGUCCACCCGGUUCCUAGGUAUCCUCCUGAGGCCUGGUGUGCUGCUGAGGCCUGGUUUCGGCCUGGUUUGUACCUGGGGUAUGGGUAUCCACCUGGUUACUGUUGCUUACCUAAGACCUGUUGUCCACCUUGGACCUCUUGAUCCUCUGGGGCCUUGUGUCCACCUGUGCCCGGGUGUCAGCUUGGUACCUGAUAUCCACUUGGGGCCUCCACAGCCACCUGGGGCCUUGUGGUCCCUUGAAGCCUGAAGCCCUGGGUAUAGGUAUCCACCUGGGUCCUGGGUGUCCACUUGGGGCCACAUGUCCAGCUCUGGUCUGAGUGUCCCCAUGGGGCCUGAUACGCACCAGGGGCCUAGGCAUGUACUUGAUGCCUGGUGUCCAUAUGGAGCGUGCUGUCCCAUGAGGAUUGAUACUCAGAUGGGGCCUGGUAUCCACUUCGGGCCUAUUGUACUCCUGGAGUCUGAUACACAUCCUGUGCCUGCUGCCUACAUAGGGCCUCAUGCUCCCCUUGAGCCUGGAUGUCCACCUGAGUCCUUGGUAUUCUCUGUGGGAUGGCUGUCCACCUGUGACUUUGUGUCCAGCUGUGGCCUGGGUGUGAGCCUGGUGCUUGAUGGACACCUUGAGUCCGUGUGCACCUGGGGCCUUAUGUCUAUCUGGGGACUAGUGUCUACUUGGAGCUGAUGUCUAUAUAGGGACCGUGUGCUUAUCCAGGACCCGAUGUCCAUCUGGAAUCAGAUGUUCCCUUGGGGUCAGGGUGUCCGUCUGGGGCCUAAUUCUCACCAGGGACCUGCUGUUCACCAGGAGCCUAGGCAUCCACCUGUGGCCUGCUGUCCACUUGGGGCCCCCUGUUCACCUUGGCCCUGAUACUUACUUGGGGCCUGGACAUCCACUUGGAGCCUGGGGUUCAAGUGGCGCCUGGUGUUCCUCCAAGAUGCCUGAUGUCCAUCUGUGGCCAGGUUUCCACCUGGGGCCUGGUACGUAGCUGGGGCCUCGGGUCCACCUGGGGCCUGGUAUUUACCUGAGGCCUGGGCGUUCACCUGGGGCCUGAUGUCUAGCUGGGGCCUCAUAUCCACCUGGGGCCUCCAUGCCAAACUGCGACCUGAUGUCCAGCGGAGGCCUGAUGUCCAUGCAGGAACUGGAGUCCCUCUGGGACCUGUUGUCCACCCGGGGCCUGGUGUCCAACGUCCACCUUGAGUCCAGUGUGCACUUGGGGCCCGACGUUUUCCUGGGGCCUUUGUGUCCGCUGGGGCCUUAUGCCCACCUGGAGGGGGUGUGUCCCACGCACCCGCCCUUGUCCUGGGGAGAGUGUGUAGAGAGUUGCUCUGGCCCUGCCCCUUGUCAUCUGGGAAUUGCCCCUCCUGCCAACGCGGUGGGGAAGGUGUCAUCUUGACUCAGGUGGGUGCUGGGUUUCAAACUGGGGCCUUAUAUUUACCUGGGGACUGCUGUCCAUGUGGGGCCUGGUGUCCACGUAGGUGCUGGGUAUUCACCUGGAGCCUCACGUCCACCUGGGGUCAAAAGUGUUCACCUGGGGCCCGAUGUUACCUAGCACAGGCGUUGCACAGAAUACACACAGACUGGAAAGGAAGAAGGAAUGGAAACGUGGGACCUACGUAUUCAGUAUAAGAAAAGUGAAAAUAGCAACCAGGAAAGAACACAAAGAAAGUACGAGAAGGAUGGUAUGAAGAAGACACAAACCAACCUAGGCCCAGUUUCCUAAGAAACACUGGAAACCACACUGAAAUGAAAUGUCAGACGGAAUCAAGCCAUCUCUGGAUUUUCCCCUGUGGGCCGCUCAGUGUCAGCGGGGAUGGGAGCAACUGUGGGCCGCUCAGUGUCAGCGGGGA